GGCCUCGUGGCCCAAUGGCAAGGCGUCUGACUACGAGAGUAAUUCAGAAAUGAAUCAUUCACGGUGAUCAGGAGAUUCUGGGUUCGACCCCCAGCGAGGUCA
rnacentral:tRNA from 1 species